rnacentral:rRNA from 1 species
GACGAACGCUGGCGGCGUGCCUAAUACAUGCAAGUAGAACGCACAGUUUAUACCGUAGCUUGCUACACCAUAGACUGUGAGUUGCGAACGGGUGAGUAACGCGUAGGUAACCUGCCUGGUAGCGGGGGAUAACUAUUGGAAACGAUAGCUAAUACCGCAUAAUAUUAAUUAUUGCAUGAUAAUUGAUUGAAAGAUGCAACUGCAUCACUACCAGAUGGACCUGCGUUGUAUUAGCUAGUAGGUGAGGUAACGGCUCACCUAGGCGACGAUACAUAGCCGACCUGGGGGGGUUGUCGGCCACACUGGGACUGGGGCACGGCCCAGGCCCCUACGGGAGGCAACAGUAGGGGAAUUUCGGCAAAUGACGAAAGGCUUACCGGGCAACGCCGCGGGAGUGGAAGAGGUUUUCGGGUCGUAAAACUCCGUUGUUAGGGGAGGACGGGGGUGGGAGUGGAAAGUUCACACUGUGACGGUAACUUAACAGAAAGGGACCGCUAACUACGUG